AACCUCCGCAAUGUGAGAAAUCGCGACGGGGGGAUCCCAAGUGCCAUUCUUAACGGGAUGGCUUUUCUUAAGUGUAAAAAGCUUUUGGAAUAAGAGCUGGGCAAGACCGGUGCCAGCCGCCGCGGUAACACCGGCAGCUCUAGUGGUAGCUGUUUUUAUGGGCCUAAAGCGUUCGUAGCCGGUUUGAUAAGUCACUGGUGAAAUCCUGUAGCUUAACUGUGGGAAUUGCUGGUGAUACUGUUGAACUUGAGGUCGGGAGAGGUUAGCGGUACUCCCAGGGUAGAGGUGAAAUUCUGUAAUCCUGGGAGGACCACCUGUGGCGAAGGCGGCUAACUGGAACGAACCUGACGGUGAGGGACGAAAGCCAGGGGCGCGAACCGGAUUAGAUACCCGGGUAGUCCUGGCCGUAAACGAUGCGGACUUGGUGUUGGGAUGGCUUUGAGCCGCUCCGGUGCCGAAGGGAGCUGUUAAGUCCGCCGCCUGGGAAGUACGGUCGCAAGACUGAAACUUAAAGGAAUU
rnacentral:rRNA from 1 species